ACCAAGUUUUGAUUACCUUG
rnacentral:misc_RNA from 1 species